AAUUAAAGGGGUUAUUAAGGAAACUAUUCAAAUUUAUAAAUAAGGAGGCUUAUUGCCAAAAUUUUCUAAAUUAAAAUUUCAUUUAUAAUUUUAGGCGCAGCCAGUAAAUGAAAAAUUUAAAUUUUUAAUAGAAAAAAAUCCUAAGGUAAACCAAAUUUAUUAAUUACUUCCUGAAGUAAAACAUUUUAUUAAGGAAAGGAAAGGAAAUCAACCGAGACUCCGAAAGUAAUGGUGAGUGAAAUCGGAACAGCCUAAAUUAUAUUAUAAAAUUGAAAUCUAAAAUAGGUAAAAAUCAUUAGUCCUGUAAAUUUUAUAAGUAAUGAACUCUAAAUAAUAAUAAAAGUAAAAAUUUUAAACAAAUUUUUGUUAAAGUUAAUUUUAAUUUGUUUAAAAAAAUGAGUGGCCGCCAGUCCAUCACAUGGCUAACUUAUUAGUUAGAAACGUGGUAUACUGGUAGUUUGCUUCUCGACAAUAAAAGCCAGCGCUGCAUGCUAGGCUAAUACUAAAAUUCUUAUUUAACUGGAAGGAAUGACUAAGUACAAUGAGUGUAAACUUGUUGGAACACAGGGGAACCAUCCUCUAAGGCUAAGUAUUAUAAAUUUAGUGAUAGUGAAAAGUACUGUAAAGGAAAAGAAUGAAAAAGACAAGUGGUAAACAAUGUGUUGAAAUAGAUAUGAAUUAGUAACUCUAUAAGCAGUCGAAAUUCUAAAAAUUCAUUGAAUGACGGCGUACCUUUUGCAUAAUGGGUCAGCAAGUUAAUAAGAGUAGCAAGGUUAAAAGCCCUAGCGAAAGCGACUAAACUAUCAAAUUAAAUAUAAAAUAAACCUAACCAAUAAAAUUUAAACAAUCAAUCUUUCUAAUAAGAAAAUAUAUAUAUUUAAUUAUAAUGUAGUGUUGGAUUAGUUACUUUUAUUAGACCCGAAGCCAGGUGAUCUUACCUAGACCAGAUUAUAAUGGAUCGAACGGGUGAAUGUUGCAUUAUUCUCCGAUGAGUUUAGGUAAGCGGUGAAAUGCCAAUCUGACCUGGUGCUAUCUGGUUUUCUACCGAAACAUAUUUUAGUAUGACAUCUACAAAAAGAGAUUUAUGGAGGUACAGAAAGGCAAUUCCAAACAAAAAAAAGAGUUUAAUAUGUUAUAAUAUUUAUUACAUCCAUAAAUCUUUUUGGCGUUUAGGUUGAGGGGAUGUUAAAAUCUUACCUUUGGAAGCGAAACUCGAAAUUACAUAAAUUGAUAGUAGAUAUUCAGACUGCUCAUGCUAAGUUGAGUAGUCAAGACGGAAACAGCCGAGAACACAGAUCAAGGUCCCCAAUAGAUUGUUAAGUGAAAAUCAAGGACGUGACAAAAUCUUAUACAGUUGUGAAGUGAGCUUCAAAAACCCCACUAAUUUAAACAUAAUCUUAACCCCCUAAAGAUAAAAUAUUUAAUCCCCGACCCUACCUCUGCUUCUUUUUUUGCAGUACGGCAAGCCGGAAAACCAGGCUGGGUCGAUUAAAGCGAGGCUUUGCCUAACAGCAAGCACUACUUUUCUCUGCAAGAGGAGAGUAGAAAAUUCUUAUAGUUAAGAAUAAAAAAAUGCAGCGCAGGAAUUUAACAAAUAUAUACAUUAUUAUAAGUAUAAGGGUAGUAAAGUUAGCUGCUACCCCGUCUAGAGAUAGAUGGAAAUUUAAAUCAAAACUAUAGAUAUUUUUUAUUUUAUAUUGAUCGUUGAAUCUACAAAAUAGAAAAUAAUUGCGCUACUUAUAAUGAUCGUAUGUAACAACGCAUCAACAGUUUUAGCUUUGUUACGCCGAAAAUUUAACGGGUCUUAAACAAUCAACCGAUAUCGUGUUGAUAUUGAAUUUAUAAAUUUUGCCCUUCCUAUUAAAAGUUAACCCUCCCACUACUAUAUCCUUUUACAAAGGAUAGGAAGGGUUGUCGUUAACGCUAGGGCUAAAUGUUUAUUCUUUAUCUAGGUAGUAGAACAUUCAGUCAAUCUAUUUAUAAAAUAGUGUUUCAUUAUUUUUUAGGCAACUGAAGAGAGAAUGCUGACAUGAGUAACGUAAAAGAAGAAUAUAAUUCUUCUCGCCGAAAACGAAAGGGUUACAAUAAAAGGUUAAAUCAUUUUGUGUUAAUGCGGCCUCUAAGGACUAUAACCAAAGUUAUGGCUGAUGAGUAUAUUAUAGAAAGUCCAAAAUAAAAUUUUAUUGGGACCAAGAAAAUAAUAUUUGUUUUAGGCUAAUUUUAUUUAUUUAUUUGAUUAAUUAAAAUUAGUUAAUCUUUAAAAUAGUCGGACUUACUUGUUCAAAAGUAGGUAGACACAAUUAUUUAGUUAAUAUUUGAUAAGGAAAGAAAGGGCUAGUAUGUAGAACCGUAAAGGCCCACUCUCCAUCCGUUCAUCGUUAUUUAAAGUUGGAAGGAUAAAAAUAAUGGACUUUAUUAAAUUUAUAAUAAAGAGGUGUAUAUAAUUACCUUGCACCAAUUUAAGGAGUUAAUUUUAUUUAACUUAAUCCCAAAGUAUAAUAAAAGUAUUAAAUUAACACUCUCGCUUUGCUGCGUUUGGUUAAUUUUUUAGUUUUCAUAUAAAUAAAAUUAUUAGUUUAAAAUUUAAGCCUUACUCUCUUCCACUUAUACCGCCACAUAAAAGUUCUGCCACUGUCUUUUCGAAAGGGGAGAGUGAGCGAUUGGUGUUGUUCUUUUAAGGAUAAAAGGGGUAGGGUGAGGAAGGGUCUUCAGUUAAGUAGGAAGUAAACCUGCUUCUUAAUGGUUUUUUGAAUCUUGAGGAUAAAAUACUAAACCGAAAUUAGAAACUUAAAUUUUAACUAAUUAUUACCUUAAUUUAUUCUUAUUUUUAAUUAAAUAUUAACUAAUAAAAAGACUAAGAUAAAUAUCAUAUAUAUUUUAUUUAUUUUAUUCUGAAUUGUAAAUAUAUUUAUAUUUUACUCUGUCAAUAUUUAUUGAGCUUGUUUCAAAUACAAAUUUUACUUCUAUAACCAACCGUUAAAGGAAGAAGCGGCUCUGCAAAUCUAAGGCUGUGGUUGAAUUAGCUUCAUAACCUAAAGGUAGAAGGAAUCACUCAUAAAGUAUAGUUAAAAAUAAUAAACAAUUAAAAAAUUUUAAUUAAACUAACCUUGGAAUAAAUAUUAGACAAAUUAAAAGAAAAUACACUGCGUUUGUUGAGAAAUAUUUGCAGGAAUCUUUGAAGCUUAGCAGUCCCUCUAUUCAGUUGGUCUGUCUCUUGCUUGCGAAGUAAAAAUAAGAUAUAUUUUAGAUUUUAUAAAUUUAUAGAAAUGUUAUUAAAUAACACUACCGUACCCUAAACCGACACAGGUUCGUAGGUAGAGUAUACUAAGGCGUAGAGCUAAAAGUUGUUAAGGAACUCGGCAAGAAUACCUCAUAAGUUUUACAAGAAGAGGUGCCUACUGUUUUUUAAAAAUUUUAUUUAAUUUAUUCGGAAUUAUUUAUAAAUUUUUAGAAUGGUAUGGUGACAGAAAAUCGGAGGCCACGACUGUUUACUAAAAACACAGAUCAAUGCAAAGAUGAAAAUCAUAGUAUAUUGGUCGAAAUUUGCUCGAUGCCAUUAAUAUAAAAGAGGUCAUUGAAAAUGUGACUGAUUGAAAGUCUGGUUAAUAGCGGUCUGGAUAAGGCCGUGUGGUUUACUGAACAAAACUAUUUUAGGAAUGCAGUAAGUACACUAAUCACUAUAUGCUAGAAUCCCUUCCGUGUAAUUAUGUGUUUUAUAAUAAUAAGUUUAAUGCUUUUUAUAUUUUAUAAUAUUUAUUAAAAAAUUAAUAGUAAAAUAUUAGCAUUGUGAGGAAAAUAUAAUAAUAAAUAUAUAAUAUUAUUUUAAAAGUUUAAAUUCGUUAAUUAAGAAAUAGAACAUUUCUAGAUAGGCUGCAAAUGUAAAUAUCGUGAGAUAUGAUUUAUAAUAAAAUAUAAAUUAAAUUAAAGUUAAUUUUUUUAAGUUUAGCAGUACUAAUUUAUAAAUAAACUUGAUGUUAAAGAUUGUCAUAUUUAUCUUAUUAUUGUCAACUGUCAAAAUGGUAAAAAAGGCCUAUCUUAAAGAACUAUGGAAAGUCUCUUUGAGAGAAGGCUGCCAAUUAA
rnacentral:rRNA from 1 species